rnacentral:rRNA from 1 species
UACGUAGGUGGCGAGCGUUAUCCGGAAUUAUUGGGCGUAAAGAGCGCGCAGGUGGUUGAUUAAGUCUGAUGUGAAAGCCCACGGCUUAACCGUGGAGGGUCAUUGGAAACUGGUCGACUUGAGUGCAGAAGAGGGAAGUGGAAUUCCAUGUGUAGCGGUGAAAUGCGUAGAGAUAUGGAGGAACACCAGUGGCGAAGGCGGCUUCCUGGUCUGUAACUGACACUGAGGCGCGAAAGCGUGGGGAGCAAACGGG